GACGAACGCUGGCGGCGUGCUUAACACAUGCAAGUCGAACGAUGAUGCUGGAGCUUGCUCCAGUUGAUUAGUGGCGAACGGGUGAGUAACACGUGAGUAACCUGCCCUUGACUCUGGGAUAACUGCGGGAAACUGUAGCUAAUACCGGAUACGACCCUCGGCGGCAUCGCCAGGGGGUGGAAAGAAUUUCGGUCAAGGAUGGACUCGCGGCCUAUCAGCUAGUUGGUGAGGUAACGGCUCACCAAGGCGACGACGGGUAGCCGGCCUGAGAGGGUGACCGGCCACACUGGGACUGAGACACGGCCCAGACUCCUACGGGAGGCAGCAGUGGGGAAUAUUGCACAAUGAGCGCAAGCCUGAUGCAGCAACGCCGCGUGAGGGAUGACGGCCUUCGGGUUGUAAACCUCUUUUAGUAGGGAAGAAGCGAAAGUGACGGUACCUGCAGAAAAAGCACCGGCUAACUACGUGCCAGCAGCCGCCGCAG
rnacentral:rRNA from 1 species